rnacentral:tRNA from 1 species
GGCUUCGUGGUCUAGUCGUAUGAUUGUCGCUUCGGGUGUGACAGGUCCCGGGUUCAAAUCCCGGCGAAGCCC